ACAGGACUCCCUGGGAAAUCUGAGAAGGUCAGGAAGGAGACAAGGAGGAAGAACCAAGUUCCCAAGGGAGACUCGGCCCUCCCCUUCAAGGUGGUGGUGAUCUCAGCCAUCCUGGCCUUGGUGGUUCUCACAAUCAUCUCCCUCAUCAUCCUCAUCAUGCUCUGGCAGAAGAAGCCACGCUAUGAGAUUUGAUGGAAGGUGAUUGAGUCUGUGAGCUCUGAUGGCCAUGAGUACAUCUAUGUGGACCCCAUGCAGCUGCCCUACGAUUCCACCUGGGAACUGCCACGGGACCAGCUUGUGCUUGGUCAGUCCUGGGAAGCCCCACCUGGCAGUUUGGGGACUUGAAGUGGAGGCCAGCCUCUCUUGGGUCUGGUCUCAGCCUGGCCAUGACAAGCUAUGGGACCUGGGGCUGGUAUCUUGCCUUCCCCACCCCUCAGUCUCCUCCUCUGCAAAAUGAGGUCAAGAGGAGCCCCAGGGACUCCCCAGCUUUGAGUCCUGUGAGCCUGAGACUUGAGAUAGGACCCUCCAUGGCAGGAAGCACGAGGACAGGUCUGGUGCCAGCCUGUGCUUCAUCUAGUUAGGGAGGCUGAAGGGGUGCGGGGAGCUGUGUUCCCAUGGGGAGGAGGAAGGCACGUAGGGACUCAAGCUGGGGCAGAGAGCAGGCAGGACUUUGAGGAGACACCAGGAAAGAUUGGGGAUCAGUAUGGAGCCUUUUGGGGGGAGCACAUUAAGUCCAGAGGGAUUUGAGGGAUGUGUAGGUUGACCUAAGAGAGUGGCUCUUCCCCACCCGUGGGUGGGAAAGGGGAGUACAGGUUCCUGGUGGUCUAGGAACUGAGAGAUCCUCUCAUCCCAGGAUGUAACCUUGGCUCUAGGGCCUUCAGGCAGGUGGUGGAGGUGGCCUUCAGGCAGGUGGUAGAGGUGGCCUUCAGGCAGGUGGCUCAUGGUUCACGGCCAUGGCCUCCACCACCUAAGCCAUUCCCAGGCCACCAUGAAAGUGGCUGUCAAG